AUGUUUUACUGGACAUUACUAUGUUCUUUUUUCUCAGAUAUAUUUAGAAUAUGAAGGAACUACAUUUUUAGAAUGGGAUGUUCCAUCAUUUUGUAUAGUUGAGGAUAAAAGGAAACCAUCAACAAAACUGUUGUGUCCAGUUCCUGGCUUUCAUAAGAUUCAACCACUACUUUCAGUUCCAUCACCUGAUGAUGAGGAACGCAUCUUAUCUAUCCAAGCAGAUGUGGAUUGUUUCUCAUGGUAUAUUUAUCAAGAUGAGAACAGGUCGUGGGAUUCUGAUCCAACUCAGGUUAUAAAGUUAUGGGUAUAUGAUCCAGAAAGUGCAAGCAGGAGGGAAAAGGAAUACACCGCCACAUUACCACCACUA